rnacentral:rRNA from 1 species
CACGCCGUAAACGAUGAGUAUUAGGUGUUGGUGAGAAUCAGUGCCGGAGUUAACACAAUAAAUACUCCGCCUGGGGAGUACGGUCGCAAGACUGAAACUCAAAGGAAUUGACGGGACCCCGCACAAGUAGCGGAGCAUGUGGUUUAAUUCGAAGCAACGCGAAGAACCUUACCAGGUCUUGACAUCCUCUGACGGCAUUAGAGAUAAUGCGUUUCCUUCGGGGACAGAGAGACAGGUGG